GGAAGGGGGAAGAUUACAAAGAGAGUCACGCAGAACAGCCAGACGGCGGACAGACACAAGCUGGUCCUUCCUGAGGUGUAUGGCAGCCACUAACUAAAGGAAACCUGGCACAGCUUGUCCACUGAAGCAUAGGCUUACCGAUAGCUGCUUGGCGUGUCCGGGCUUGGAGAAUCUUCAUUGUGACUGGUGGAGCCAUUCCACCAAUCAGGCGAAUGCUGGGGAGGAGCUUGCCCCGCCCCUACCCGGUCAAGACAGAGAACCUGGACCUGGUUGAAGCCUGCACCUUGCUUCAACCUGAUUGGUCCAUUUGCAAUCUGGGUGCAGAGUCCUCGAAGGGUAUAUGAAGAGCAGUGUGCUUGGCACAGGGGGGCUGCAUCGAGGGACAGAGAAGAGGAUGGGCAAAAAGAAGAGCUGGCAAGAGCCGGCCAGCGGGGCAGAGCUCUUGCCCUGAAGACCUCUUCACUGGAUGGGAGGGGCAACCGGCCACGUCCCUAGCCCGCCGCUGAGGAAUGUGGUAUCAGUGCAGGCAGCACUGCAUGGAGGGGCCAGGAGGGACCAGGACCCUGGGAGCCACUCAAGGCGGCUCAGGUCUGCAACCCCUGGUGUGCGGCCUGGAAUGCAGUGCGCAGGCUGACGCAUGGAGCAGGACCCUGAGAGCCGCUCGAGGUGGCUCGGGUUUACAACCCCUGGCUCAGGACCAGGCAGUCAGUGCCAACAGCAUGGCACAGAAUGGUCCGAGCAGAAUCAGGACCUUGGGAGCCACUUGCGACGGCUCAGGUCUGGCACAGAACCAGCAGCCCGGUGCAGACAAUGCUGCACGGAGGGCUCAGGAGCAGACCAAGCCCCAGUGUUGCAUGAGGCGGCCUGGGCCUCCAACCCUUAGCAGAAGGCAAAGCCUGGGAGCACAUGAUGGUGC